rnacentral:rRNA from 1 species
AACGAACGUUGACGGCGUGGAUUAGGCAUGCAAGUCGGGGGAAUCCCAGCAAUGGGGGAACCGGCGUAAGGGGCAGUAAGGCGUGGGUACCUACCCUGGGGUUCGGGAUAGCCGUCUGAGAAGGCGGGUAAUACCGGAUGACCUCGGGAGAGCAAAGAUUCAUCGCCCUGGGAGGGGCCCACGUGGUAUUAGCUAGUUGGUGAGGUAACGGCUCACCAAGGCGAAGAUGUCUAGCGGGUGUGAGAGCACGACCCGCGCCACUGGCACUGAGACACUGGCCAGCCACCUACGGGUGGCUGCAGUCGAGGAUCUUCGGCAAUGGGCGAAAGCCUGACCGAGCGACGCCGCGUGUGCGACGAAGGCCUUCGGGUUGUAAAGCACUGUCGAGGGGGAGAAAAGCCCGCAAGGGUGUGAUCUAUCCCUGGAGGAAGCUCGGGCUAAGUUCGUGCCAGCCGCCGCCGUAAGAC